GCUCGGGUGGCGGAACUGGUAGACGCUCAGGACUUAAAAUCCUGUGAAGGCAACUUCGUACGGGUUCAAGUCCCGUCCCGAGUA
rnacentral:tRNA from 1 species